GGGGUUGUUGUAAGCUGUAACUAGCUGUAAGCUAGACUGUAUCCAACUGCACUGUAUCUGGCGUAACUCACCCAGAUUGUCCCUUUAUGACGGGGGUUACUUGUUAUGAAGUAUCAAAGCAGAAUUUGUAACCCUGUUUGCAUCCCUCGUUUGUUUGUUAGCUUGCUAAGUAUAGAGCGGGAAGCAUAGUCUGUAAUAUCUCCUGUCAGAGAUUUAGCCCACCACACACAUACUUUUUGAGCGGAGCUUUUGUGUUCAUUGGUAUUUUGUGUUUGUUUGUGCAGUUGGCCCAGAGGUGUUGGGGCAUUAUGACGUGUCAGAUACCCACUCCGAGAAGGAGCUUCCAUCCGCACCCCCCCACUCACUGCCCCCCUCAGGUGAGGCCGAGGCAAAGCCUCCUAAGGUGAGUCGACCCUCCUCAGACAGCGAAGUGGAGAUUGUCGGCGUUCAGGAGAAUCCCAGGUUCCCUCGUGGAGGCGUCAUAAAGUCUCUGUCCUCCUGGAAGACUGGGGCCAAGCCCACGUGGAACACAAACCCUAGCCAGUCCGGAUGGGCGCCACCUUCAGAAGUGGUGGAUUUGACACUGGAGGAGGACAGACAGAGAUACCUGCUGUGACACAUACAUACACACACACACGCACAUACACACACACACACACA